GUUGGAAUAUAGCAUAGCAAAAGAUGCUGUAUUUUGCUUAUACUACUAUCUUUUUAGCUCAAGUGAUGGUUCAUUUGUUAAUGGUGGGUUCUCAAAUUGGAAAAGAAAUGACAUUAUUAGAAAACACGUUGGGGCACCAAGUAGUGCACACAAUCAGGCUCGGGUCCGGUAUGAAUCAUUCAAGAAUCAAAGACAAAGCAUUCAAUCGUGUUUCAUUAAACAGUCACAUCAAGCUUGAACAGAGUAUCGAAUUCAUUUGAAUGCAUCAAUUGAUUGUGUUCAGUUUCUUCUAUGACAAGGGAUGGCCUUUCGUGGACAUGAUGAAUCUGAAGAUUCAAACAAUCGAGGAAACUUUCUUAAACUAUUACAUUGGUUGUGUGAUCAUAAUGCUGAGAUUAAGGUUGUUUCUUUGACAAAUGCACCUGAAAAUCACAAAUUGACGUCACCACAAGUUCAGAAAGAUAUUGUGAGUGCUAUCGCUUCUGCAGCUCUUAAUGUGAUUAUCAAAGAUAUGGGGGAUAGCUUGUUUUCUAUUAUAGUUGAUGAAUCUCGAGACAUUUCAGUGAAAGAGCAAAUGUCAGUUGUUAUUUGUUAUGUGAAGAAUGGGCGUGUAUUGGAACAUUUUAUUGGUGUUACGCAUGUUUCAAGCACUACAGCUGUUGCACUUAAGGCUGCAAUUGAUCAAUUAUUCUCCACGCAUAGCUUAAGUAUAUCUAAUUUGAGAGGUCAAGGAUAUGAUGGAGCGAGUAAUAUGCCAGGUGAGUAUAAUGGUCUCAAAUCACUUAUUUUGAAAGAAAACCUAAGUGCUUACUACAUUCAUUGCUUUGCUCAUCAACUUCAACUAGCACUUGUAGUUGUAGCACAAAACAUCCAAAAAUUGAAGCUUUCUUCACUUUAGUACACAGGUUGGUGAAUAUUGUUGGAGGAUCGGCUAAGCGAAGUGAUCUUAUUUGAGAGAAACAAAGACUUAAAAUUCUUGAAGCACUUAGUGUCGGUGACAUAUCAAGUGGACUAGGUCUCAACCAAGAAACUACUCUUAAGCGUUUUGGUGAUACUCGUUGGGGGCUCUCAUUACAGUUGUUUGAUUAACUUGAUUCUCAUGUUUUCAGCCACUGUUGAUGUUAUUGAAGAGAUUGCUACUGAUACUACAAGUUCCGGAACAAGAGGUGAUGCAAAUAUUUUAUUGGAGACAAAGGAAAG
rnacentral:lncRNA from 1 species